UUUCUCUUGGACCCUUUGCUCUGGGGAAACCAGCUGCUACAUCACCAUCAGCCUUGUGACCAUGCCACAUGGUGUUCCACAGACAUCCUACAUGCAUGACAUUGAUUCACUCUUACAUUUGACAGGAUUGCAGGAGCUCCUCAGACAAGAUCUGUGGCAACAGUAACAAUAAAAGCAUCCCAUGCGGACCAAACUCCUGCUGCAGAAUCACUUAAUUCUGAAAGUCUUCUGAGAAGACAUAGCAAGAAGUGGAGUCAAGCACACAUCAUGAUGGCAGAGAAAGGAAGGUGGGGGGCUACUCCAUAGAUUUCUGAGACUGACCUUCUUUCCUACGAAGCUUUACUCUCUACACUCAUAGUCAGUGAAUGACAAGUGGUAUAUCUGGUUCAUUCCUGGGCAUGAAUGAAAAGAGAACAAACAAAUCCAUUUUCUGGUCUGGGAGCUGGCGCAGGAUACCUCUCUGGAGUGUGUACAUCAUGUCAUGUCUGUGUGAAAUCAGCUGGGCUGGUGGCAUUCACACCACAGCAAUUGGCAAAUGCUGCGAAUCAGGGUUCCCUGACUUAAAAGCCGGCUGUU
rnacentral:lncRNA from 10 species